ensembl:lncRNA
GAAAGCUUCCAGGGACGGGGAAAAUAGCAUGCGUUUUCUGGGUUUAUGCCAUCACUUCAUUUUGGGCGUGAGCCAAAAAACUUUGCAUCUUUCAGAGCUGAUUCUCCAGAGGGACUUUUAAGUGGCUAACAAGUAUUUUAUGCUUCAGAAGGGGGACAGUGAGGCAUCUCCCUACUACCAUUUCUGAGAUCAUUCUCCACUAUGCAUCAACGGGUCCCUGCUUCCCCAUGGGGAGUGGGGAGUGUUCUACGUUGAUAGUUCUAGGAGAGCCCGGUGGAGAGCCUGGAAUCGGGACCUCGCUACAGCCUUGACUGCUAACGGGAAAACAGCUCAGCUUUGCUGGGAGCUAGUCGCUGCGCAUGGUGUUUGCCAGCAUGAUGGUUCGCGUGAUUUCUUCCAGGCCAAGGACCACCUUUGGCAACUCGCUCUCCAACAAUGAGUGUCGCUUACACACUUGCCCCACGGAUUGUGAAAAGGCGAGGCAAUGAUGCCGAACGUCCAUGCCACAGUUCUAGGGUCAGAGUCACCCUGAGGCGCCCUUUUCUGCAGAGCCUUUGGACUUCAUUCAUCCAGACCCCAGCGAAAGCGUUCCCGGCCAUCCUUCAUAAACCCUACCUUACUCAAGGCAAUUACAGGAACCCGGCGAAGGUCCACCUACCCAGUACCAGUACCACUCUCACUCCUCCUCCCCCACCCUGCAAGCCCCAAAGCAGCGCAUUCUCUCCCGGAAACAACCCUGCUGAGCAAAGGCGGAGGAAAACCUUGGGCCUUCCGCCCUGAUUGGUCUCCCCCCGCAGAGCUGGGCGAGGCAGCGAUUGGCUGCCGGCUGUUGUCAGUCGGGGGAGAUCAGUGCCAUCGCUGGGUAAGUGGAGCCGGCCGGGGCUUUGGUGCUCCCACUGCCGCCGCGGCUGCUCCGGCUGGUGCAGCUGUGGCGAGCUCGCGCUGGGCGGCGGGCGCUGCUGCCACCGCUGCUGCUGCUGCUGCUGCUGCUGCUGCGGGCGCUGCUGCUACGGUAGGAGGAGGAGAAGGAGGAGGAAGAGGACGAGGUGGAGGAGGAGGCGGUGGCGGCGGUGGCGGCGGUGCAAGAGAAGGAGGAGGCGGAGAAGUGAUGCUGGCGCCAGGGAUCCGGGCAGCGGCGGCGGCAACAGCAUCAUCGCCGGGAGUGCAGCUGCAACAGCCCCGUAGCCAUCCAGCCGGGCGGCCGGCCGAAGACAACAAACCCAACUGAGACUGCGGGUCCGCCUUACAUCUUUGGGUUACAGAGAGGAACAGUGAAUCUUCUUUUGUCACCCCACCCCCUAGUCCAAAUCAGUGAAUAUCAGGAGCCUCCGGAAGCAGCUUCAUGCUCUGAGAGUCUAUUUCUCCACUACAUUGUCCACUUUAGGGCAACUCCUUUGGACGUGCUUCCCAGGUAGGGAAUGGAAAAGAAAGAGGCACUAGUGACUGUAUUCAAGGGGCAAAGCUUUUGGAUAGGACCUGUGAGAUCCCGCAGUGAGUUGAGAGGAGCUCUUUGCCCGCUGAGGGCGGAGAAGGUAACAAAAGG